rnacentral:rRNA from 1 species
AUUGAACGCUGGCGGCAUGCCUUACACAUGCAAGUCGAACGGCAGCACGGGAGCUUGCUCCUGGUGGCGAGUGGCGAACGGGUGAGUAUUACAUCGGAACGUACCCUGAAGUGGGGGAUAACGUAGCGAAAGUUACGCUAAUACCGCAUAUUCUGUGAGCAGGAAAGAGGGGGAUCGCAAGACCUCUUGCUUUAGGAGCGGCCGAUGUCGGAUUAGCUAGUUGGUGAGGUAAAGGCUCACCAAGGCGACGAUCCGUAGCGGGUCUGAGAGGAUGAUCCGCCACACUGGGACUGAGACACGGCCCAGACUCCUACGGGAGGCAGCAGUGGGGAAUUUUGGGCAAUGGGCGCAAGCCUGAUCCAGCCAUGCCGCGUGAGUGAAGAAGGCCUGGUGUAAG